rnacentral:rRNA from 1 species
UACGAAGGGGGCUAGCGUUGCUCGGAAUCACUGGGCGUAAAGGGUGCGUAGGCGGGUCUUUAAGUCAGGGGUGAAAUCCUGGAGCUCAACUCCAGAACUGCCUUUGAUACUGAAGAUCUUGAGUCCGGGAGAGGUGAGUGGAACUGCGAGUGUAGAGGUGAAAUUCGUAGAUAUUCGGAGGAACACCAGUGGCGAAGGCGGCUCACUGGCCCGGUACUGACGCUGAGGUGCGAAAGCGUGGGGAGCAACAGG